rnacentral:rRNA from 1 species
AGCGAACGCUGGCGGCAGGCCUAACACAUGCAAGUCGAACGAACCUUUCGGGGUUAGUGGCGGACGGGUGAGUAACACGUGGGAACGUGCCUUUAGGUUCGGAAUAACUCAGGGAAACUUGUGCUAAUACCGAAUGUGCCCUUCGGGGGAAAGAUUUAUCGCCUUUAGAGCGGCCCGCGUCUGAUUAGCUAGUUGGUUGAGGUAAUGGCUCACCAAGGCGACGACCAGUAGCUGGUCUGAGAGGAUGAUCAGCCACAUUGGGACUGAGACACGGCCCAAACUCCUACGGGAGGCAGCAGUGGGGAAUCUUGCGCAAUGGGCGAAAGCCUGACGCAGCCAUGCCGCGUGAAUGAUGAAGGUCUUAGGAUUGUAAAAUUCUUUCACCGGGGACGAUAAUGACGGUACCCGGAGAAGAAGCCCCGGCUAACUUCGUG